GGAUGGAUAUGGGUUUAUGUCUGCCUCAGCAGCACCAAGCCCACUGCUCAGCAAUCCUGUGUUUCUUGCUUGUCAUGCAGAGCCUUAAGUGCAGUGUGAGAAACAAAUCAUGACUUCUGCUGGGAGUCUGAAGUGAUGCAGCUAUGCAGUGAAUUGAUCUUGCUGCUCUCUCACUUCUGCCCCUGUGGUUAGUAAUGAAGAUUUAGAUUACUUUGUUUUGGAGCAGGGAUCAUGAAAUCCCAUUGAUAGGGUGCCAACAGCAGCAGGGAGCAGGAACAUGCCCAAUAAUAAUCUGAGUUGCUACCUGUGUACCACACCGUGGUAGUGCUGGUAGCCAUACCCAUUCCACAGCUUGGGAAUCACUGGUUUGGAAGAGUGCCUUAUUAGGAUUCAGCUUAAACAUGCAGCAGCCACAGUUUGGAGCAUUCUUCAGAGACCUUUAGAUCAGCAUGCUCUCUGAUAUCUGCCUCUUGUCCAGGAAGAGAUUAAGUGGACCUCUGUGUUCAAAGCUGAGAUACCAGAAAUAGGCAUGGCUUUUAGAUGAGUUCAUCCAUGAGGUGCUGGAGGACAUGACUGGGACCAGCAGUCUUGUGGUUGGUUGGGCUGGAGCUGUCACUAUGAAUAGUGGUACUUCGUUAUGAUGUGCUGGAUGGGAAGGAUGCCGAGGAGGUGGGAGACAAUCUGACCUUUUUGUAUUUUAAACUUCAAUAAAAUCCUGUCAGCCUUUUAAGACUCCUCAGCCAAAUUCUCUUUUUCAGAGCAGCCCAUUUCUCUUUCUUUACUGUAUGUUCUAGGCCCCAUGCAACAGCACUGGACUUUGUAACUGCUACUGUCAUAGCUGGUACCGAAAUCAGAAGCGACAACACAAAAUUGUUUGAAUUCAAACACCGCUCUGUUUGCAGAUCAAAGUACAUGGUUGCUGACUGACCUUUUCUGAUCCUGACUCCUACAGCCAAGAAAUCCAAACUUGAAAUCUAGGCAUUUGCUGUGAAAACCGAACAAAUAGAGGAGAGAGAUUCUCAGCAGAAGUGCUUCUGCACUCUUGCGAAACACACUCCAAAUCCAGCACUGCAAUUAUCUGUGCUGCUAAGGAAGCCCAAUGAAGCAUCUCUGGCAAAUCCCAUGAAGCAUCUCUGGCAAACCUCCCACCCUUUCAUCUGCUUACUCUGCUCACUCUGUGAGCAAGAUAGAUCUCUUCUCCUUCAUCACAGGAAGGUACUUACAGAAAAAUGCCUUCUUCAUGCGGUGUGCCUGGCCCACGUGGGAGAGCAGCCCUAGGCAGCUGAGGGCUCAGGGGCUCUUAGAACAGCAGUACUCAGCUAAUGUGGCAAACCAGCCUCUGCAGGGUUAAAGAUGAGCUCAUCAGCCUGGGUGAUGACAAGUAGGAAAGAAAAUACAAGCAAGGAGUCAUUAAUUAAGGCAAGAAGCUAGGAGCAGAGACUGCAGAAUGCUAAUCAGUCUGGAGGGAAGGUUGCGUGGAAAGCAGCAAUGAAGCUCCUUCAGCUUUAAUUAAAUCUAACUAUAUCAAGGAUGUGACAUCUUUGCUUCACCUCUGCUUUUGAGCUGAGAAACCGGUUGGAGCAUGUACGCUGUUACUGGGCAGACAGGAAUUCCCUCCUGGCUCCAGAGCCUUCCCAACUGAAACUCAGUGCCUGCCCAUCCUGCUCAUGUGCUCCCCAAAAU